CUUGGGAACGACUUGUGUCCCGGUCCUGGUGCGUUCCUUGUUAAUUAAUCUACGUGAGAUCAGCCAAGUCACUGAGCCUGUCUUAUCAAAGAGAAAGCCUGUCUGCACAGUGAGAGAAUGAAACCAAUACAUUGAAAAAAACAGAGAAGAGAAAGAGGUAGAGACUUCAUCUGAUACAAGCACGCCUGAAACAAGAGAUACCUGUAUGAUUCCAUCUUCCCAAGAUGGAGGGGCCCCAGCUGCAAUAUCAUGAGAACACUGAAGUGGCCCAGGGAGAGAUGUACAUGGAGGAAAGCAGAGGCCUCCCACUCACUGCCAGCACAGACAAGGGAGUGACCAAGCUUUAAAAACUGAUCUUUCAGCCCUAGCGAAGCCUUGGGAUGACUGCAGUCCCAGCUUGCAGCUUGGCUACUACUGUAAGAGUGACGCCAAGUGGAACCUGCCUAGCCAAGCUGCUCCUGAAUUCCUGUUCCACAGAAGCUGGGAGUAGUAAUAAAUGUUUAUUGUUUUAAGUUA